AACGAACGCUGGCGGCGGGCCUAACACAUGCAAGUCGAACGAACUCUUCGGAGUUAGUGGCGGACGGGUGAGUAACACGUGGGAACGUGCCUUUAGGUUCGGAAUAACUCAGGGAAACUUGUGCUAAUACCGAAUGAGCCCUUAGGGGGAAAGAUUUAUGCGCCGAAAGAUCGGCCCGCGUUGGAUUAGGUAGUUGGUGGGGUAAAGGCGCACCAAGCCUACGAUCCAUAGCUGGUCUGAGAGGCUGAUCAGCCACACUGGGACUGAGACACGGACGAGACUCCUACGGAAGGCAGCAGUGGGAAAUCUUGCGCAAUGGCCGAAGGCCUAACACAGCCAUGCCGCGUGGAUGAUGAAGGUCUUAGGAUUGUAAAAUCCUUUCACCGGUGAAGAUAAUGACUGUAGCCGGAGAAGAAGCCCCGGCUAACUUCGUGCUAGCCGCCGCCGUAACAC
rnacentral:rRNA from 1 species